UAAGGAAUAUUGGUCAAUGGACGGAAGUCUGAACCAGCCAUGCCGCGUGAAGGAUGAAGGUCCUCUGGAUUGUAAACUUCUUUUAUAGGGGACGAAAAAAGGGAAUUCAUUCUCACUUGACGGUACCCUAGGAAUAAGCACCGGCUAACUCCGUGCCAGCAGCCGCGGUAAUACGGAGGGUGCGAGCGUUAUCCGGAUUCACUGGGUUUAAAGGGUGCGUAGGCGGGAUUGUAAGUCAGUGGUGAAAGCCUUCAGCUUAACUGAAGAACUGCCAUUGAUACUGCGAUUCUUGAAUACUGUGGAGGUAUGCGGAAUAGGUCAUGUAGCGGUGAAAUGCAUAGAUAUGACCUAGAACACCUAUUGCGAAGGCAGCAUACUACGCAGCGAUUGACGCUGAGGC
rnacentral:rRNA from 1 species